GCGGGUGUGGCGAAAUUGGCAGACGCACCAGAUUUAGGUUCUGGCGCCGCGAGGCGUGGGGGUUCAAGUCCCUUCACCCGCACAA
rnacentral:tRNA from 1 species